CUUGCUGAAAACCUCCAGGUCGUCGUCCUCGUCCAAGUCCAACAUGUUUCCUGAGAAGUCCGCGGGGACGGACUGUCCGCUCAUCUCUCUCUCAAACUUUCAGAAGAACUGAGCUCAUGAGACAGAACUGAGAGAUGCCCCCAAAUAGCUGAUGGAGAGGGGCCUUCUGAUGCAACAUCCACACCACUCUCUGAAGCAUAGGUGGUCCCUCUUAAUAAAACAUGGGACCACAACCCUGAAAUUCUGGUCAGAUUCUAGAUGGGAGAGUCGUAUCAACAGUGUAGAGGCUGGGAGAUACCAGGCUGCAGAAGUCAGGGACAAUGCCACAAUGCCACAGGUCCAGCCAUAAAAAUCAGGCAGAAUCUUUGUCUGAAGAGGUUGGAUCUAGUCUCACCAAGGGCACCAAAUGGGCUAGAACAGGCCCUGGCUGAGGGUGUCCAUUCCUCCUCAUGCUCUUCAUUAUCUUCCCCUGACUGCUUCAUGUCACUUGAAUUGCCAUCCAUUAUCAUGUUGAUGACAUUUUCAAUGUACUUUCUUUUUUUUUCUCUCAUUUUUCUAUUCUUUUUGACAUCUAAAAUUACAUACAUAACAAAUUGGUCAAUAUAGCAUAGCGAUUAUUAUUUCAGAUGAAUUGGUACUGUGAAAAUACCCAACAGGUAUUUUAAGAUGGCAUUUCAGUCAUUAAUUAGAUGCAUUAAUGAUGCAUCAUUCAAAUAGUGUGUGUUUGUAUUGUGGUAGGCAUGACGUAGAUUACAUUACAAAAAAUGUGACAUGACUGUUCAGGGAUAAGACACCUUAUAUACCUGCCGUAUCAAAUUUGAUACACACAUUUUUAUUGCGAUUUAAU